rnacentral:tRNA from 1 species
UCUAGCUCAGUUGGUAGAGCAUCAGUUUUGUAAACUGACGGUCGCAGGUUCGACUCCUGU